rnacentral:rRNA from 1 species
GACGUAGGGCGCAAGCGUUGUCCGGAUUUAUUGGGCGUAAAGAGUUCGUAGGCGGUUUGUCGCGUCGUUCGUGAAAACUUGGGGCUUAACUCCAAGCGUGCGGGCGAUACGGGCAGACUUGAGUACUACAGGGGAGACUGGAAUUCCUGGUGUAGCGGUGAAAUGCGCAGAUAUCAGGAGGAACACCGAUGGCGAAGGCAGGUCUCUGGGCAUUAACUGACGCUGAGGAGCGAAAGCAUGGGGAGCGAACAGG